rnacentral:rRNA from 1 species
GGGUUGUGAGGUUAAGCGACCAAGCGUACACGGUGGAUGCCCUGGCAGUCAGAGGCGAUGAAGGACGUGCUAAUCUGCGAUAAGCGCCGGUAAGGUGAUAUGAACCGUUAUAACCGGCGAUGUCCGAAUGGGGAAACCCAGUGUGUUUCGACACACUAUCAUUAACUGAAUCCAUAGGUUAAUGAGGCGAACCGGGGGAACUGAAACAUCUAAGUACCCCGAGGAAAAGAAAUCAACCGAGAUUCCCCCAGUAGCGGCGAGCGAACGGGGAGGAGCCCAGAGCCUGAAUCAGCAUGUGUGUUAGUGGAAGCGUCUGGAAAGGCGCGCGAUACAGGGUGACAGCCCCGUACACAAAAGCGCAUAUGCUGUGAGCUCGAUGAGUAGGGCGGGACACGUGGUAUCCUGUCUGAAUAUGGGGGGACCAUCCUCCAAGGCUAAAUACUCCUGACUGACCGAUAGUGAACCAGUACCGUGAGGGAAAGGCGAAAAGAACCCCGGCGAGGGGAGUGAAACAGAACCUGAAACCGUGUACGUACAAGCAGUGGGAGCACAGGUUUACCUGUGUGACUGCGUACCUUUUGUAUAAUGGGUCAGCGACUUAUAUUCUGUAGCAAGGUUAACCGAAUAGGGGAGCCGCAGGGAAACCGAGUCUUAAC